rnacentral:rRNA from 1 species
GGCGGCGCGCCUCAUACAUGCAAGUCGAACGAGAAGCCCGGGCUUGCCCGGGUGGAAAGUGGCGAACGGGUGAGGAACACGUGAGGAACCUGCCCUGGAGACCGGGAUAACACCGGGAAACCGGUGCUAAUACCGGAUGCCCUCAUCGGACCGCAUGGUCUGAUGAGGAAAUGGAUUCCGCUCCAGGAUGGUCUCGCGGCCUAUCAGCUUGUUGGCGGGGUAACGGCCCACCAAGGCAUCGACGGGUAGCUGGUCUGAGAGGAUGUCCAGCCACACUGGGACUGAGACACGGCCCAGACUCCUACGGGAGGCAGCAGUAGGGAAUCUUGCACAAUGGGCGAAAGCCUGAUGCAGCGACGCCGCGUGGGGGAUGAAGCAUUUCGGUGUGUAAACCCCUUUCGACCCGGACGAAUGCCUCGCAAGAGGAGUGACGGUACGGGUAUAAGAAGCCCCGGCUAACUACGUGCCAGCAGCCGCGGUAAGACGUAGGGGGCCAGCGUUGUUCGGAAUUACUGGGUGUAAAGGGUUCGUAGGCGGUGUGGCAAGUUGGGAGUGAAAUCUCUGGGCUCAACCCAGA